GACGAACGCUGGCGGCGUGCUUAACACAUGCAAGUCGAACGGAAAGGCCCUGCUUUUGUGGGGUGCUCGAGGGGCGAACGGGGGAGUAACCCGUGGGUAACCUGCCCUUGACUUUGGGAUAACUUCAGGAAACUGGGGCUAAUACCGGAUAGGAGCUCCUGCCGCAUGGUGGGGGUUGGAAAGUUUCGGCGGUUGGGGAUGGACUCGCGGCUUAUCAGCUUGUUGGGGGGGUAGUGGCUUACCAAGGCUUUGACGGGUAGCCGGCCUGGGAGGGGGAGCGGGCACGUGAGGACUGAGAUAAGGCACAGCCUCGAAUGGGAGGCAACGGGGGAGAGUAUGACACAACGGGGGGGAGCGAGAUGUGAAAACGCCGCGAGCGGUAUGACGGGCUUCGGGUUGUGAACCAAUGUCGCCUGAGACGAGGCGUGAGUGACGGUAACGGGUAAAGAAGCACCGGCUAACUACGUG
rnacentral:rRNA from 1 species